AUUGAACGCUGGCGGCAUGCCUUACACAUGCAAGUCGAACGGCAGCACGGGAGCAAUCCUGGUGGCGAGUGGCGAACGGGUGAGUAAUAUAUCGGAACGUGCCCAGUCGUGGGGGAUAACGUAGCGAAAGCUACGCUAAUACCGCAUACGAUCUACGGAUGAAAGCGGGGGAUCGCAAGACCUCGCGCGAUUGGAGCGGCCGAUAUCAGAUUAGGUAGUUGGUGAGGUAAAGGCUCACCAAGCCGACGAUCUGUAGCUGGUCUGAGAGGACGACCAACCACACUGGGACUGAGACACGGCCCAGACGCCUACGGGAGGCAGCAGUGGGGAAUUUUGGACAAUGGGCGCAAGCCUGAUCCAGCAAUGCCGCGUGCAGGAUGAAGGCCUUCGGGUUGUAAACUGCUUUUGUACGGAACGAAACGGUGAGCUCUAAUACAGUUUGCUAAUGACGGUACCGUAAGAAUAAGCACCGGCUAACUACGUGCCAGCCGCCGCAGUAA
rnacentral:rRNA from 1 species